rnacentral:rRNA from 1 species
ACGAACGCUGGCGGCGUGCUUAACACAUGCAAGUCGAACGGAAAGGCCCUGCUUGCAGGGUACUCGAGUGGCGAACGGGUGAGUAACACGUGGGUGAUCUGCCCUGCACUUCGGGAUAAGCCUGGGAAACUGGGUCUAAUACCGGAUAGGAGCCAUUUUUAGUGUGAUGGUUGGAAAGUUUUUUCGGUGUAGGAUGAGCUCGCGGCCUAUCAGCUUGUUGGUGGGGUAAUGGCCUACCAAGGCGGCGACGGGUAGCCGGGCUGAGGGGGUGGACGGCCACAUUUGGGCUGAGGUACGGCCCAGGCUCCUACGGGAGGCAGCGGUGGGGAAAAUUGCACAAUGGGCGCAAGCCUGAUGCAACGACGCCGCGUGGGGGAUGACGGCCUUCGGGUUGUAAACUCCUUUCGCUAGGGACGAAGCUUUUUGUGACGGUACCUAGAUAAGAAGCACCGGCUAACUACGUG